GACGUAGGGGGCAAGCGUUGUCCGGAUUUAUUGGGCGUAAAGAGCGUGUAGGCGGCCAUACAGGUCAGCUGUGAAAACUCGAGGCUCAACCUCGAGACGUCGGUUGAAACCGUUUGGCUAGAGUCCGGAAGAGGAGAGUGGAAUUCCCGGUGUAGCGGUGAAAUGCGCAGAUAUCGGGAAGAACACCCGUGGCGAAGGCGGCUCUCUGGGACGGUACUGACGCUGAGACGCGAAAGCGUGGGGAGCGAACAGG
rnacentral:rRNA from 1 species